rnacentral:rRNA from 1 species
CCUACGGGAGGCUGCAGUGGGGAAUAUUGCACAAUGGGGGAAACCCUGAUGCAGCGACGCCGCGUGAGUGAAGAAGUAUUUCGGUAUGUAAAGCUCUAUCAGCAGGGAAGAUAAUGACGGUACCUGACUAAGAAGCCCCGGCUAACUACGUGCCAGCAGCCGCGGUAAUACGUAGGGGGCAAGCGUUAUCCGGAUUUACUGGGUGUAAAGGGAGUGUAGGCGGUCUUGUAAGUCUGGUGUGAAAGCCCAGGGCUCAACCCUGGGACUGCAUUGGAAACUAUGGGACUAGAGUGUCGGAGAGGUAAGUGGAAUUCCUAGUGUAGCGGUGAAAUGCGUAGAUAUUAGGAGGAACACCAGUGGCGAAGGCGACUUACUGGACGAUAACUGACGCUGAGGCUCGAAAGCGUGGGGAGCAAACAGGAUUAGAUACCCCGGUAGUC